CCCCUCUCAGGGUUGCACCUGGAGAGUUUCCAGUACUCUACCAGUCUCGGCUAUGGGAGAGAAAGUCUAGCAGAGGCAUACCCAUUCCAUUCAUAGCUUGAGCAGUGGCUAGCAAAUGGGAGUCAAUUUGCUACAAAU
rfam:Ornithorhynchus anatinus chromosome 1, whole genome shotgun sequence.